UACAGGCUUCUAAUGUGAGGAAAAACACGGAAUGACAAGUGUGGGAAAGAGCAAGCACUAAAUUACUGUCAGAAAAAUAAACGGAGUAGCACAGUGCUGCUCGGUGAUUUACGGGGGCAAUUAGUCACCACCCCACGGCGCUGCUGAGGACAGCACGGCAGCAGACAAGUCAGGCCCAUGAGGAAGAAGAGGCUUUGCACUGCUCUCCAGACAACUUUUCAAACAACAAGAGAGGAUAUUUGAGCACAUUAGGUUUUGUGUCUUCAUUCUGGCCGUGUGAAGAUGUGCCUGCUUCGCCUUCCAUCAUGACUGAAGUUUCCUGAGGCCUCCCCAGCUAUGCUCCCUAUACAGCCUGCAGAACGGUCGGCUGCCUCCAAUCCUGAGGUCAUCACUCAUCAAGAGGGGAUAAUCCCAGGGACAGCAGGAUCUGCUUCGUUACUUGGAUUUAGGAGCCAGAAACCCAUCAGGCAACUAAACAGUAACAAUGACCCGCCAUUAAACACACUGAGAGAAGAGCAUGAUGAAGAGUUUGUACAAGAAGAAGCCAGGAGCACUUGCUGACAAUGCUUACAGAGACGCAGGCUUCUAUGAGCUCUGCCUGUUGAACUGCAGUAAAAAUAGAUCUCCUUCCCCAGAGAGGCUUGGAUGUGGGCACAAUAUCAGUUCAGACGAUGGUCAAUGCAUGUACUUAAUAGAGUGAAAAGACUUUGGACUGUGAAGUCAGAUUACCUGGGUCUGAAUUGUUAUUCUUCUACUUCUUUGUAGUAUGCUUUCACCACAUUAAAAAUUGUCUGAGCCUCAA
rnacentral:lncRNA from 1 species